rnacentral:rRNA from 1 species
CAAGCAAUCUCGGGCUUGUUUAGUACUUGGAUGGGUGACCGCUUGGGAAUACCAAGUGUGAUAAGCA